GACAGAGGGUGCAAACGUUGUUCGGGAUGACUGGGCGUAAAGGGCUCGUAGGCGGCCAACUAAGUCGGAUGUGAAAUCCCCAGGCUUAACCUGGGAACUGCAUCCGAUACUGGAUGGCUUGAAUUCGGGAGAGGGAUGCAGAAUUCCAGGUGUAGCGGUGAAAUGCGUAGAUAUCUGGAGGAAUACCGGUGGCGAAGGCGGCAUCCUGGACCGAGAUUGACGCUGAUGAGCGAAAGCUAGGGGAGCAACGGG
rnacentral:rRNA from 1 species